GACUUCCCCAUUCUGUGUCAGACGUGUCUUGGAGAAAACCCUUAUAUACGAAUGGUGAGUGCUUUCCUGUGCAGCGGAAGUAAACUGUUCCUUAUUUUGUGGUCCUUGCAAGGUAAAUGUAAAGAGUUUCUCUUAGCCGUUAGAAGAAUUGAUGCUCUUUCUAACCCAAAGGGAGGACAACUUGCAAAGUACUGCCCUACCUAUUUCCUCUCCUAGAUACUGAGCAGUAAUCCUGUGACAUAGGAGCUGUAACAUAACAGCUAAUACUUGUUGAGCAUCUAACCUAAAAAGUAGGUCUGUUGACAGGCGAGAAUAUCUUUACGUAGCACUACUUCCUGGCUACUAGUCAUGUAUCUCUCAGCCACUGUGCCUUGGGGUAGUCUCUCUAGUUUAAGAUACACU
rnacentral:lncRNA from 1 species